rnacentral:lncRNA from 1 species
AUGGAUGUCUUUAGAGGUCGUGUGAGACAAAGAAGCACUCCACGCUACAGACUCAGACUCUCCAGCAGCUCUCCAGCUCAGAAUGGAACAAACAGACAUUAUUUUCCUCUAAAUCCAAAGGCACAUUUUCGUGCAGACGAGACAGAGUUCACUCCUAAAGAAAGGGGAAGAAAUAAAGUCAGAAAUUCUCAAAUGUUUGAUCACAGAAAUGGUCGUAACAUUAGGGAAUUCAGAAAUACAGCUAGAGGACCCAGGCCUGGGUCCUCUCAGAGAUUUGAUGCAUACCAUGAAGAAGAGUCCAGACUGGUGAGAAGUCCAGAUAGAUUUCCCAGUAACACUGAACGUCACGAGAUGGUUGCAGGCCCAAACAGGCCUCCCACUGGAAGAAAGGGGCGAAGAAGAAAUAAUAAAAAUAGACGGGGGACAAAACCACAAAACAGAAUUCCUCCUUUCAUUGAACAAGAUGAACACGCUGAGCGUGAAUUUUUUGAAGACGAUGUCGAGGAGGAUUACUCUCCUCCUCGACAACAAAAUCACUUCACCCACCCAUAUUCGAGACCUCAAACACAAUUUCAAAGGAGUAGUUCCAUGUAUAAUUUUCCCUCACGCUCUUUUUCUAGACAACGAAACAAAAGAGUUUCCUUUGUUAACCAUGGGGGGAGAUUCAGAGAUAUUGAUAUCUCAAUUGACAGACAAGUAACCUCACAAAAGAGGGAAAGAGAUAGAAUCCCACGCUACUUUCCUCGAGAAAAUUACAGAAACGAGGAAAGGCCUCAAAGGUUCACAAACAACGAGUACACACCAGCCCAGCCGGAACUAAAAAAUACGAUUAAAUCCUUUUAUGACAUCAUCAGAUUGGUGCAUCAUUUGAGUAAGGUAACAACUAAAGUGACCGACAACCAACCAAUCACUUUCCAGCGACUCACGCGGCUACUUACAAACACAGUCAGACCAGCAUUUCCUGGGGAGCAGGUUAGAACAUGCUUGAGGGCUAAAAAGACCAAAUAUAUUGGUGGUGAAGUAGUGGGCCUAGGCCGUGGGGGCAGGCCUUGGCCGAGGCAGGAGAGCGGCCAGAAGGAGUAUUGA